rnacentral:rRNA from 14 species
ACUGUGAAACUGCGAACGGCUCAUUAUAUCAGCUAUAGUCUAUUUGGUAAUGUCUACUACUUGGAUACUCGUAGUAAUUCUAGGGUCAAUACAUGCAUAAAUGCCCAACUUUUCGGACGGGCAGUAUUUAUUUGAUAUAAACCAAUCGCUUCUGGCGUUUUGUGGUGAUUCAAAGUAACUAAGCGGACCGCAGUGCCUUUUGGCGGCGGUGGACCAUUCGAGUUUCUGCCCUAUCAGUUGUCGUAGGUAGUGUAUUGGACUACCUAGACCUUUACGGGUGACGGAGAAUUGGGGUUCGAUUCCGGAGAAGAAGCCUGAGAGACGGCUACUACAUCCAAGGAAGGCAGCAGGGGCGCAAAUUACCCAAUGGUGACACGCCGAGGUAGUGACAACCAAUAUCGUUGCGGAGCCCUUAUGGGUUUUGCUAUGAAAUGAGUGCAAUCUAAAAUACUCAACGAGGAUCAAUUGGAGGGCAAGUCUGGUGCCAGCAGCCGCGGUAAUUCCAGCUCCAAUAGCGUAUAUUAAAGUUGUUGCAGUUAAAAAGCUCGUAGUUGGAUCUUGGGAUCGAGCUGGCGGUCCGCCGCGAGGCGAGCUACCGCCUGUCCCAGCCCCUGUCUCUCGGCGCCCCCUCGAUGCUCUUAACUGAGUGUCCCGCGGGGCCCGAAGCGUUUACUUUGAAAAAAUUAGAGUGUUCAAAGCAGGCCUUUGCUCGAAUACAUUAGCAUGGAAUAAUAGAAUAGGAC